UAUCACAGUCCUGCUUUGGUGACGG
rnacentral:miRNA from 1 species